GGGCGAACGCUGGCGGCGUGCUUAACACAUGCAAGUCGAACGAAGAGCGAUGGAAGCUUGCUUCUAUCAAUCUUAGUGGCGAACGGGUGAGUAACGCGUAAUCAACCUGCCCUUCAGAGGGGGACAACAGUUGGAAACGACUGCUAAUACCGCAUACGAUCUAAUCUCGGCAUCGAGGAUAGAUGAAAGGUGGCCUCUACAUGUAAGCUAUCACUGAAGGAGGGUAUUGCGUCUGAUUAGCUAGUUGGAGGGGUAACGGCCCACCAAGGCGAUGAUCAGUAGCCGGUCUGAGAGGAUGAACGGCCACAUUGGGACUGAGACACGGCCCAGACUCCUACGGGAGGCAGCAGUGGGGAAUCUUCCGCAAGGGACGAAAGUCUGACGGAGAAACGCCGCGUGAGUGAUGACGGCCUUCGGGUUGUAAAGCUCUGUUAAUCGGGACGAAAGGCCUUCUUGCGAAUAGUGAGAAGGAUUGACGGUACCGGAAGAGAAAGCCACGGCUAACUACGUG
rnacentral:rRNA from 1 species